UGCGUAGGUGGCAAGGUAAGUCGGAUGUGAAAUCUCCGAGCUCAACUCGGAAAUGGCAUUGGAAACUGCUUUGCUCGAGGGUUGGAGGGGGGACUGGAAUACUUGGUGUAGCAGUGAAAUGCGUAGAUAUCAAGUGGAACACCAGUGGCGAAGGCGAGUCCCUGGACAACUCCUGACACUGAGGCACGAAAGCUAGGGGAGCAAACAGGAUUAGAUACCCUGGUAGUCCUAGCCGUAAACGGUGCACGUUUGCUGUAAAAGGAAUCGACCCCUUUUGUGGCGUAGCCAACGCGUUAAACGUGCCGCCUGGGAAGUACGGUCGCAAGAUUAAA
rnacentral:rRNA from 1 species